AACUGCAACAGCAAAAGCAACAACUGCCGACAAUUGCAACGUGCAAAAUCGUUUACAAGCCACGCCAAGUCAACUCGAGCCGCAGAAGAUUCCAAACGCCGGCGAAGAGAACGAAGUUUGGGCCAAAAUAACCAAAUCAUUGCCAUGCAAAUGGCAUCGUUUUGUGGCUGAAGUCAUCGCCAGCCUCCCCGACUUUUCCACUUUUUCCGCCAAGGAAGAGUAGUCGUGAAAGGUGGGAAAGACAUUUCCUCCUGCCACUGCCUGGAUUGCACUUUGUCCCCACUCAGCUGGUCUACACUGCAAGAUAAAUCCACAAGAAACCUUCUAUGUUCUGUUCUAUAUAUGAAAUGGCUUAUUUAACAGUAUAUAUCCGUAAUAACCAAUGUAUUUCGCUCAGUGCAGCCUUGGGGCCGGGGCAAUGUUGCAACAAUUGUUUCCCGGGCCAAUGUGUCUAUGUGUGUGUGUGUGUGUGUCUCGUCUGGGAUUGCAAGUGCAACUGCAAUUGGAAUCGCAAUCGCAAUUGCCAUGGCCAUGGCCACGGCCAGAUUAUGCAAUUGUCUGACUCGGCGUCUUCUCACCCUGCACACUGCACCCGCACCCGCACCCUGGUAAUCUGCCUCCUCCGUCUGUGUCACUAUGGCAGCCCCUGUGUGGGAUUUCAGUCACGUUUCUGGCUGCUGGUGGCGGAUGAGGAUCCGCGGAUGAGCAUCGGAUCUGGGCUGGAUCGGAAACUCGAAAACUGUUUUCGGCGCUCCUCCUCGCGAAGAAGUGUUAGGCCUGGAGGCGUCUCUCUCCACUCAGCGGGAAAUGCAGGAUCCAUUCAACGGGAGGAAUUAAACAAGCGAUUUGUCAGCGCAUUCUGGCCGCACAUACACCCGCCUGGUAACUCGCGGAAUUACUUGGCCUGGGCCACUAACUUGACACACACGACGCACGAUUAUCAUCAAUCUUGGGUUGGAGCCACAGGAAAUACAGUCUGCGACCAAGCCGAAAGAGGAAUGGGAAAGAACCGCAACAGCUGUCAUCUCGCUCACACCUAACGGAAUGCGGAUUUCCGAGAAAAGCGCAACUUGCGUUAUAUAAUUUUAUGAUUUCACAGAUAUUAAAGUUGAAACAUUGGACAUUUAAAGGCCGGGAAGUGUGCAAUAUAGCUAAGAAGUAAAUAUACUGACACACGACCCGUCCUGCAAAUGUUUAUGUUUUUGCAAGCACUUUUUUUUUCUUUUUCGAUGCUAAUUCUUGAUAUUUUCAGGCCGGUGAAUGUGCAAUAUAUUCGAAAAAAAAAAAAUAUUGACUCAUAUACCGUCCGAAAAAUGAUCUAGAAAUUUCGAUUUUUCACUGUCUUGCCGCCUAUUGCAAGGAAAAAAACUAAUUACUUUGCUCAAUGAUGAUUCUUUUUAAAGUAAUUCGGCCGUCUCAAGUGCAAUACAAGUUUAAAAAUGCAGAAUUGCCCUUGUGACGAACCAAAACGCUUUAAACUUAAUUCACAUUAUUUAUAAUAAUUUAAAAAUUUAAAUUGUUAGUAUUAGGCAGUUGCUAACAUUUUAAGGCUGUGAAAAGUGCAAUACUCAAUUUAAAAAAAACAGUAGUGCCCCAAUGCGCAGCAGAAAAUUGUUGGCUAGAUCGAUGUCCGGCAAUAUUUUUUAAACGACCACUCGCGACGACUCUCGGAAUUUGAAUGCCGGGGGCAAAGAACGCAAAAGAAGAUCCCGAAAAGGAAAAAUCAGAAAACGGGACAAUAUGGAAUGCAGAGGUUUAGAGCGGGAUGACAGUAUGAACUUCGAACUCUCAAAACAUCCAAAGUUGUUGCUUUACUCUACAACUUUCGGGAGAGAGAAUAUUCAAAAUGGCGGCAACGCGCGGAAAACGGAGGAAUUCGCGAGACAUACAUUUUUUUUAAACACAUAUGUAUUUUAAGGAAUGCUCAUUAGCCUAUAGAAUAGCAAAAAGAAUAAAUUUUUUUUUUUGCCCUUCGUUUUACUAUUCUUAGGUUAUGGCAAAUUUGAUGAAAUAUCACAUUCUUGUGUUUUUUUUCAAUCUGUGCACUUUGUGGUUAGUUUUCUGCAAAUAAGUAAAAAGCGGUUAUGCCAAGUUUGUUAAACACACAAACAUUAGCAUAACAGACUUUUUACUAUUUUGAGAUUAUGGCAAUUUGAAGUUCACAUUUUUGUCUUUUUUACUUUUGAAUCUGUACACUUCGGUGAUAGUUUCUAAAAAUAUAUUAAGUAUAUUUCGCAUAUUUUGCAAAAAAAAAAACACACAAAAUAGCGCAUCAUACUAAUAUAAUUUUAGAAAAAAAUUUAUGUUCAUUAGCUUAUAAUAUAUUUUUUUUUGCCCUUCGUUUUACUAUUUUGAUUUUAUGGCAAAUUUGAUGAGAUAUCACAUUUUUGUUUUUUUUUUUCGUUCUGUACACGUCGGUGUUAGUUUUCUAAAAAUAAGUAAAAGUCGGUUAUACGGUUUUGUAAAACACACAAAAAAAGGCAUAACAGACUUUUUACUAUUUUGAGAUUAUGGCAAUUUGAUGAAAUUCACAUUAUUGUCUUUUUUUUUAAUUUGUACACUUCGGUGGUAGGGGGAUAGUUUUCAAAAAAUAUAUUAAGCAUGUUACACAGAUUUUGUAAAACACACAAAAUAGAAUAACAUACUUAUAUAAUUUUAGAAAAAACGAAGUUUUAAUGAAUGCUCGUUAGCUUAUAGAAUAGCAAACAGAAAAUAAGUAAAAGUCUAAUAUGCGAAUUUUGUAAAACACACGAAAAAAGCAUAACAGGUUUUUUAUUAUUUUGAGAUUAUGUCAAUUUGAUGAAAUUCACAAUUAUGUCGUUUGUUUUAAUCUGUACACUUCGGUGUGAGUUUUCUAAAAAUAUAUUAGGCAUGUUACACCGAUUUUGUAAAACACACAAAAUGGGGCUAGCAUACCUCAAUAUUUUUAGAAGAAAGUUGAGUGGCGGAUUUCAAAUGCAAAACCAAAAUUUUCCAAACUUCAACUUUAAUACGACGUUAAAAUAAAUAUUAAUAGAUGUAGUUGGGAAAAGCCUGAAACUGCAGUGAUAUUUUUGAUAUACCCCGCAGGUAAGUUUCUCAAAGGGCUUGGUUCCAAAAAAGGGUACUAUACAACAAAAAUUACACCUCUCUGAAACCAGGCACUUGCGAAAAUCAUGUCUAGAUUCCUCAACAUUUUAAUUGCCUUACCAGGAGAGCUAAGCUCCUUCUCCGUCGACGGUCAAAUCGAAAAGAACGGACUGCAGAAUUUCAUUGUAAUCGAAACCUUGGUGACAGUGUUAGAAGAUGACCAAACUAAUGUAGGCAAUAAGAGUGUUUCUGUGUGUGUGGGAAAACGCUCAAUUUGACUAAUACACCAAUAACAUAACCUCACUUUGAAGAGUCAAUGUCCUUACUGCCUUAAAAUUUAACUGCUAAUCUGUAUAAUAAGUACAGUCGCACAUGGGAAAUGAAAACCCAUCUGUUAAAAAAAAUCUUUGUCUUAUAUGAGUAGUUACUUUUUGAUGAAGCACUAACAAAAAUUCGGUUUAUUUUUACACUAAUACCAUUCCGUUGAUUUAUACUACACAGUCAAGUAUGUAUGGGAGUGUGUAAGCAGAGAGCGAUUCUAAGAAAUCACUCAAAAAAUACAUGCAUGCAUACAUACGUAGGCAAAAAACUUCGCAUUUUUGCUAAUAAAUAGCAUUUUUUUAUUGAGAAAAAACGAUGCAUUUUAUGAAAUAACUUGACUCAACUUUAAAAGACAUUUUGCCGCCAAUACCAACAAUUAUUUGUUAAUAUUAUCAGCUUAUUGCAAUGCUAAUUUAAUUAAAAUAAAAUGUGAAAUUUAUGCAAAAUUCAUAUGUACAUAUGUACAUUAAUGAAUAUGCAGAUUUUAA